rnacentral:lncRNA from 1 species
CAGAAAAGGAGGAAACUGCAGGUCCCAAGAUAUGCAGUAGAUGAGGCUGAGUGUCCUGAACCAAUGGGAUGGGACUUCAGGGCCAGUCGGUGCUAGACACUGGGGAGAUCGUAUCUCCAAAGAGCUCAGCCAGUGAGAACACAACAGGACAGAGAAAGCAGUUUGGGAUAUAAGAAAAAUCUGUUUGGGGCCAAAUCCCUGCACCAGCCACCUUUGCCCUUUCUCUGGGCCAACACCGGAGUUUACAAGCUUUCCUGUCCCCGAGUGGAGGAAAAUUGCAGCUCUCUCCAUGGUGAACGGAGAUGACAGAGAAUCACUGGGAAGUCUCAGGGACUGUCUGCCAUGCGGUCUCACCUAAGGCAAUCCACAAAUGGAGAGACUAGGAUGCUUCAUCUUUUCGUUUGUUUGAUGCUCAGUCUUGAUUGCUGACUCUAUGGGAUUAGAAUCACCAUAGAAACAGGUUUGAAGAUGGAUGGCAAAUCAUCUACUCCACCCUUAAUGGCCUGUGCUGUGGAAGAUACUGCUAACUCAGCACAGCCAUGCUUCCUACAACUCAUAAUGUCCAUCAAGGUCACAAAGCUGGUCCAGUAUCAUGUUGCCAGGAGUGGUCGUCACCAAAUCCCGGCUCUAGUGAUCUGUCCGAGGACUUGGCAGAAGAGCUAUCCUUGUCAUCAUAUUUCCAUAUUGAAGUCCAAAUGACUCUGCUAUUGAUUAUUAAAUAGCACCACGUGCUGUAUUUUAAAACAAAACUAAUGUAAAAACAA